rnacentral:rRNA from 1 species
UUGUUCGGAAUUCUUGGGCGUAAAGGGCGCGUAGGCGGUUUGAUAAGUCUGCUGUGAAAUCUAUGGGCUCAACCCAUAGUCUGCAUUAGAAACUGCCGGGCUUGAGUAUGGGAGAGGUGAGUGGAAUUUCCGGUGUAGCGGUGAAAUGCGUAGAUAUCGGAAGGAACGCCGGUGGCGAAAGCGGCGUGCUGGCCCUCUUCUGACGCUGAGGCGCGAAAGCCAGGGGAGCGAACGGG